UCCUACGAAAAAUGGUCAACCUCUUUCCUCUUCUUACGAUUUCUUCCUGCUCUCUCUGACUGCCGUUCUCUCCUAAAUUACCACCCUUCAAUCACCCAUCAACCAUUCAAUUAGCCAUCAGCCCAUUUGGGUGGUUAUUCUGAUAAUCUCAUAAGAUUUAUAGAACGAGGAAGCAAAUGGUACCUAUGUGAAGGAGAUGGGUGGAAGUAGUAAACCUUCAGAUCUAAUAAAGGGAUACAAGCAAUUAGUAGAGAGGAAGAAAGGGUUUGUUGAUUGGGCAAACUUGAUAAACAAUCAUGCAGUAACUCAAGAAAAAAAGAGGGGAAGUUUACUCAGGAAGAAGUAAAAAAAAAAAAAAAACACCUGCAUGUAUAGACUUCAAGAUUUAUGUUCGUCACUUGGUCUUUCGAGGAUAAAUGCAAGUUUAGUGUUUUUGAGGGAAGGUUGUGAUAGUAUGUGGCAUGGCUCUCAAAUUUUUUUAUCAUAUUUUUUAUUUGCUUGUUUAAUCAUGUGGCUUUAGCAAAUACUAGUAAAGAGUUGCCUAUACAAUAAUACUUAUUUAUUAAAUUGGUUACCAAACAA